UGGCUCUAGCCAUCGUGCGCCUUGUCCCUGCCUCGCAAAAAUGGGGAUAAUUCGUAAAAUAUUCCCUAAUCUCUAAUACGUUAUGAGAAGCUGAACCAUUCCCUGCACAAUCUCCUUCGAAAGCUUCUCAUCAAUGGCCAAGACACUGAUUUCGUCUCCAUCGUUCAUCGGCACGCCGCUUCCCUCGCUCCCUCGCCACCGCUUCCCCCACCGCACAAGGCUAGUCGCUACAAAAGUCCACGUCAGCCUCCACCAAUUUCCCCCGAUUCAAUCCAUAAGCCACUCCAUUGACUUCGCCGGAAUCGUCACCAGAGCCGAAGGCCUUCUUUACACGCUCGCCGACGCCGCUGUUGCCGCGGACCCCGCGGCUUCCACCACCACUGCCACCACCGAUGCUGCCGUGCAGAAGAACGGAGGCUGGUUCGGCUUCAUCUCCGAAGGCAUGGAGUUCGUUCUCAAGGUUUUGAAGGAUACACUUUCUGCCGUGCAUGUGCCUUAUUCAUAUGGAUUUGCUAUCAUAUUGCUCACUGUUAUAGUUAAGGCAGCAACGCUUCCCUUGACAAAGCAGCAGGUUGAAUCAACACUGGCUAUGCAAAACCUUCAACCAAAAAUUAAGGCCAUUCAAGAUAGAUAUGCUGGCAAUCAGGAAAGAAUACAACUUGAGACGUCCAGGCUAUAUCGGCAGGCUGGGGUUAACCCAUUGGCAGGUUGUUUUCCAACGUUGGCUACCAUUCCAGUCUGGAUUGGUCUCUACCAAGCUUUAUCAAAUGUGGCAAAUGAGGGACUGUUAACAGAAGGUUUCUUUUGGAUACCAUCUUUGGGUGGUCCUACUACCAUUGCUGCUAGACAAAGUGGAAGUGGCAUUUCUUGGCUUUUUCCAUUUGUGGAUGGGCAUCCACCUUUGGGUUGGCAAGAAACUGUAGCAUAUCUUGUUUUACCUAUUCUUCUUAUUGUUUCUCAAUACGUUUCAAUGGAAAUAAUGAAACCACCUCAGACAGAUCCUUCUCAAAAGAAUUCACUUCUUGUUUUAAAGUUUCUCCCACUCAUGAUUGGCUACUUCUCACUAUCUGUUCCUUCAGGACUAACAAUUUACUGGUUUACAAACAAUGUCCUUAGUACAGCUCAACAAGUAUGGUUGCGCAAAUAUGGAGGUGCAAAGCCUGUUGUGGAUCAAAAUGCUGGUGGAAUUAUUACUGCAGGGCGUGCUAAAAGAACAGGGUCGGAGCCAGCAAGAGGUGGUGAAAGGUUUAAGCAGUUAAAGGAAGAGGAAAAGAAGAAAAAGUUAAGCAAGGCACUACCAGUGGAAGAAGUUCAGCCACUGGCUUCUGCUUCUGAUGAUGGCUCGGAUGUAGAAAGUGACGACAAGGGACAGGAAGUUGAAGAAGAAGCAUAUGCUUCCAAAGUUGGCGAAGAGGUUCAAAAUUAUUCUAGGGAAAGAAGAAGCAAGCGUUCCAAGCGGAAGCGUGCUGUAUAAAGGACCACAUACGGUUGUUGGUAGCUUAUAGUGAGUUUGUAUAAUCUCAAGAGAUUAUACCAUUUUUGGGUUGGCAAUUAAUUAAAUUAUUUUUUCCCCCGGAAACUAGGGAGCGCAAAAAGUUGCAUUACAUAGAGACGGGAAGGCUGCUUACAGCACAGUAGUCCUGCAUAUCAGCCUAUGGAAAUGAUAUUGUUGAACGGAAUCUGCUAAUAGUUGUCCUUAAUGUUAAAAUCUAGUCGAGGGAUGAUGAUGUUUCACUCAUUCAUUGUUAUAAAAUGAAAGAGUGCUCCAAAAUCAGAGUUGAGGCCUAAAAUUAAGGAAGAUAUUUUAGCUUAAAGGUGUUCAAUGUUAAUUAUACUGCCUGUUUUUCAUCAUGUGUAUUGUAGACAGUGUUCAACAAAUUUAACUAGUUGGUUAGUUAAUAAAUCGAGAAUUGCUUGCCUCUUAGAAACGUCAAUGAAAUAAUUUUGUAAAGUACGAAUAUUCCAUUAAGUACCAUUUU